rnacentral:lncRNA from 1 species
GCAAGUAUCCACUCACUACUCUUGUGAGUAUACCAUAACCAGUCUCAUAUAUGGUGUACAUGAUAGAACAAAUUUUACUCAUAAACACCCUAUAUAUGUUGGACUAGAAAAAUUCAAGCAGCCUCUUAGAUCUAUCUCUAUAGAUCUCUAGAAUGAGAGAUGCUUUUUUCAAAUCUUUUAUGAAGAACAAUAAUAACAGCAAAACCUUUAUUCUCUGUAAUGU